GAUGAACGCUGCCAGAAUGCUUAACACAUGCAAGUCGAUGGGGAAGUGGUGCUUGCACCAUGGCAACCAUGGCGGACGGGUGAGUAACGCGUAAGGGACUUACCUGCAGGACUGGGAUAGCAGGGGGAAACUCCUGACAAGACCGGAUAAUGUCAUGGAGCUGCAUGGCUUUAUGAUGAAAGGAGACGCCUGCGGAGAGCCUUGCGUCCUAUUAGCUAGUUGGUGAGGUAAUGGCUCACCAAGGCGAAGAUAGGUAGCCGGCCUGAGAGGGUGGACGGCCACAAGGGGACUGAGAUACGGCCCUUACUCCUACGGGAGGCAGCAGUGGGGAAUAUUGGACAAUGGGGGCAACCCUGAUCCAGCAAUUCUGUGUGCAUGAAGAAGGUUUUCGGAUUGUAAAGUGCUUUCAGCAGGGAAGAAGUAAGUGACGGUACCUGCAGAAGAAGCGACGGCUAAAUACGUG
rnacentral:rRNA from 1 species